AUUGAACGCUGGCGGCAGGCCUAACACAUGCAAGUCGAACGAGUGGCGGACGGGGGAGUAAUGUCUGGGAAACUGCACGACGGAGGGGGAUAACUACUGGAAACGGUAGCUAAUACCGCAUACCAUCGGAUGUGCCCAGGUGGGAUUAGCUAGUAGGUGGGGUAUUCGCUCACCUGGGCGACGAUCCCUAGCUGGUCUGCGAGGAUGACCAGCCACUCUUGAACUGAGACACGGUCCAGACUCGUACGGGAGGCAGCAGGGGGGAAUAUGGGACAAUGGGCGCAAGCCUGAUGCAGCCAUGCCGCGUGUGUGAAGAAGGCCUGCGGGUUGUAAAGUACUUUCAGUGAGGGGGCGUUACUCGCAGAAGAAGCACCGGCUAACUCCGUGCCAGCAGCCGCGGUAAUUC
rnacentral:rRNA from 1 species